ensembl:lncRNA
CCACGGACUUGCCCACGUGGGGAGAGCCCAGAUGGAAAGAAAUUUGUGUCAUUGGUGGCAUCCUGAGCUGCGAGGAAUGAUAAGGGAGAAGGCCAGGAUGUGCUUAAUCUGUGGGGCACACAAUCCUAAGCCAGCAGUAAAACCGGAAGUGGGUUUUACACCAUACGAGCUGCAAACCGGGAGACAGUUUCCGGCACCUUGGACGGUGGGCUCGGGUGAACGGGACAAAAAGGGGAACCGGUCCCACGCAGACUACUGGAACGAGCUAAAGGCGCUAGUGUCCAGUUUCACGAAACAGGCGGCUUGUAAGGGGCCCACAGGAGAAGGAGAGGUCCCGGACGCGAAAACAGUGUGGCUGAGAGUCAUCAAACGAAAGUGGAAGGAGCCCCGCUGGACUGGUCCAUAUGAGGUAUCGGCUCGGACGGCGACAGCGGUCCAACUGAAGGGGAAAGGCGACACCUGGUAUCACUGGACGCAGUGCGCAGCUGCGCACGAGGGCUUGGUGAGAAAGGAUCCAUCUCAACCCGACGCAGGUGAAAUUGAGCGGCACAAUAAUCCCUCACACCUGUGCAACGGACCGACCGGUAGUCUACCCGGAAGGUCAACGAAAGAGGAGCAGACAAGCAGGAGAUCGCCGCGCCAACGAAAAGGAGCGGUACCACACUGAACACCUAAAACAAGAGAGAGGCUCUGAUAAAGGGCUUUGAACUUUUUACUACACCAUAACAUUCACAUACCACCAUGCCAUCACAACAAUUAGACACUGGUGAUGAAAGAAGAGUCUCAAAAGCCAUCACAAUGUUUAAAAUUAUUAUGAGUUUGAUGUUAACUAUGUUGCUAAUCAUGGCUAUUUGUUUUUUGAUUUGUUUGUUGCAGACCGACCCGGGAAACCAGUCUGAGCACGGAGGCCAUGCCAGUCCGGCGUUGUUUGAUACACCAAGUACAUCACGCGUGGUCCAUAGUGAUUUAAGGUUGCGGGCAAGAGUGAAGCGCGAGGUCUCUGGGACGUCGGCAGUGCUUGGAGGGGAUACAAUGUGUGGGUCUGUUGGGAUUAUUCAGUGAGUACGCACUGCGAGAGGGGAAAUCGUCCUUAUGACAGCUGGUGCCGUAAUUGGGACCAGGUAAGGGGUUACACUGGGCAAAAUUGGGAACCGUUAGAAUCAGGAUCAGAAAACGGGCUUAAACUACAGAGGGAUUUUAGCCCCUCUGGAAACGCGUUAACUUUAUCAUUGGGGAAUUGGCAUCGCAAACAAUCUAUGUAUUUAAUUCUGGGGGUGGAAAUAGCGGGGGUUGAUCCAAAAGGGUUAAUUAAAGUUAAUUUCCUAGAAAAAACUAAUCGCGUACCGUCAGGUAGAGAAGACAUAACAACUCGUGUGAUUUCUACUCCCACCAGCUCUGUUGCAUCUGUUACAGGGCAGGAGGGGAGCGGGUCAUCGGAAGCUACACCAGAGGAGCACGAACCAAGAGAGAGGCGAGUAGUGUCGGUGGACUACACCACCCUGAAACCUCAGGAUUUGAUUGAACGCGCUACCGGGUUCAGUGACAGUAACAUCUGGCUGGACUGGAUAGCCCAAAAUGCUAGAGAACAAAAAGUGGCUAAUUGUGUAGCCUGCGCUUCAGCAAGGCCGCGUUUAUUUAUAGAGCCUGCACCUCUGCAUCCAGAGGAUCAGUGGGGCUAUAAUUGUAUGUUGCAAAUAACUAGAGGAGCUGUGAAUACGGGGAACUGCACUGUGUUGUCCAGUCUAUUUCCCCCUAUUGGCAAGCUCACGCAAGUAGGGCCGUUUAUGCCCCGGAAAGAUAAUUAUACGUGCUUUAAGUUUACCACAGAUAAAGUUAAAUAUCGGUUGGGGGAAAUUGACCCCAGUUG